AGCAUAUCAAUAAGCGGAGGAAAAGAAACCAACAGGGAUUGCCCUAGUAACGGCGAGUGAAGCGGCAACAGCUCAAAUUUGAAAUCUGGCGCAAGCCCGAGUUGUAAUUUGUAGAGGAUGCUUCGGCGUCGGCCCCGUUCUAAGUUCCUUGGAACAGGACGUCCUAGAGGGUGAGAACCCCGUCUUCGAUCGGGUCGCCGUCGCCAUGUGAAGCUCCUUCGACGAGUCGAGUUGUUUGGGAAUGCAGCUCUAAGCGGGAGGUAAAUUUCUUCUNNNNNNAAAUAACGGCCAGAGACCGAUAGCGCACAAGUAGAGUGAUCGAAAGAUGAAAAGCACUUUGGAAAGAGAGUUAAAAAGUACGUGAAAUUGUUGAAAGGGAAGCUCAAGCUGCCAGACUUGGCCGCGCCUCUUCGGUGGCGCGGGCAGGCCAGCAUCAGUCCGGGCGGCCUGAUAAAGACCUUUGGAAUGUAGCUCCCUCGGGAGUGUUAUAGCCUUGGGUGUAAUGGGGUCAGCCUGGACUGAGGAUCGCGUUCGCUAGGAUGCUGGCGUAAUGGCAGUUUGCGACCCGUCU
rnacentral:rRNA from 1 species